rnacentral:rRNA from 1 species
UACAGAGGUCCCAAGCGUUGUUCGGAUUCACUGGGCGUAAAGGGUGCGUAGGUGGUUAGGUAAGUCCGAUGUGAAAUCUCCAGGCUCAACCUGGAAAUGGCAUUGGAUACUAUCUAGCUUGAGGAGUGGAGGGGGGACUGGAAUUCUCGGUGUAGCAGUGAAAUGCGUAGAUAUCGAGAGGAACACCGGUGGCGAAGGCGGUUCUCUGGGCCUUACCUGACGCUGAGGAGCGAAAGCGUGGGGAGCGAACAGG